UUAGAGUUUGAUCAUGGCUCAGAUUGAACGCUGGCGGCAUGCCUUACACAUGCAAGUCGAACGGCAGCACGGGUGCUUGCACCUGGUGGCGAGUGGCGAACGGGUGAGUAAUACAUCGGAACAUGUCCUGUAGUGGGGGAUAGCCCGGCGAAAGCCGGAUUAAUACCGCAUACGAUCUACGGAUGAAAGCGGGGGACCUUCGGGCCUCGCGCUAUAGGGUUGGCCGAUGGCUGAUUAGCUAGUUGGUGGGGUAAAGGCCUACCAAGGCGACGAUCAGUAGCUGGUCUGAGAGGACGACCAGCCACACUGGGACUGAGACACGGCCCAGACUCCUACGGGAGGCAGCAGUGGGGAAUUUUGGACAAUGGGCGAAAGCCUGAUCCAGCAAUGCCGCGUGUGUGAAGAAGGCCUUCGGGUUGUAAAGCACUUUUGUCCGGAAAGAAAUCCUUGGCUCUAAUACAGUCGGGGGAUGACGGUACCGGAAGAAUAAGCACCGGCUAACUACGUGCCAGCAGCCGCGGUAAUACGUAGGGUGCGAGCGUUAAUCGGAAUUACUGGGCGUAAAGCGUGCGCAGGCGGUUUGCUAAGACCGAUGUGAAAUCCCCGGGCUCAACCUGGGAACUGCAUUGGUGACUGGCAGGCUAGAGUAUGGCAGAGGGGGGUAGAAUUCCACGUGUAGCAGUGAAAUGCGUAGAGAUGUGGAGGAAUACCGAUGGCGAAGGCAGCCCCCUGGGCCAAUACUGACGCUCAUGCACGAAAGCGUGGGGAGCAAACAGGAUUAGGUACCCUGGUAGUCCACGCCCUAAACGAUGUCAACUAGUUGUUGGGGAUUCAUUUCCUUAGUAACGUAGCUAACGCGUGAAGUUGACCGCCUGGGGAGUACGGUCGCAAGAUUAAAACUCAAAGGAAUUGACGGGGACCCGCACAAGCGGUGGAUGAUGUGGAUUAAUUCGAUGCAACGCGAAAAACCUUACCUACCCUUGACAUGGUCGGAAUCCCGCUGAGAGGUGGGAGUGCUCGAAAGAGAACCGGCGCACAGGUGCUGCAUGGCUGUCGUCAGCUCGUGUCGUGAGAUGUUGGGUUAAGUCCCGCAACGAGCGCAACCCUUGUCCUUAGUUGCUACGCAAGAGCACUCUAAGGAGACUGCCGGUGACAAACCGGAGGAAGGUGGGGAUGACGUCAAGUCCUCAUGGCCCUUAUGGGUAGGGCUUCACACGUCAUACAAUGGUCGGAACAGAGGGUUGCCAACCCGCGAGGGGGAGCUAAUCCCAGAAAAUGCAUCGUAGUCCGGAUCGUAGUCUGCAACUCGACUACGUGAAGCUGGAAUCGCUAGUAAUCGCGGAUCAGCAUGCCGCGGUGAAU
rnacentral:rRNA from 1 species